rnacentral:rRNA from 1 species
GAUGAACGCUGGCGGCGUGCCUAAUACAUGCAAGUCGAACGAACAGACGAGGAGCUUGCUCCUCGGACGGUAGCGGCGGGCGUGAGAGAAACACGUGUAUCCCCUACCUGUAAGACUGGGAUCACUACGGGAAACCGGAGCUAAUACCAUAUAAUAUAGUGAACCGCAUGGUUCAAUAGUGAGAGACGGUGUUGCGGUCACUUAUAGAUGGAUCCGCGCCGGAUUAGCUAGUUGGUAAGGUAACGGCUUACCAAGGCAACGAUGCGUAGCCGACCUGAGAGGGUGAUCGGCCACACUGGGACUGAGACACGGCCCAGACUCCUACGGGAGGCAGCAGUAGGGAAUCUUGCGCAAUGGGCGAAAGCCUGACGCAGCCACGCCGCGUGAGUGAUGAAGGUCUUCGGAUUGUAAACUGCUGUUGUAAGGGAAGAACAGAUGUGUAAGUAACCAUGCACGUCUUGACGGUACCGUAUCAGAAAGCACCGGCUAACUACGUG